rnacentral:lncRNA from 1 species
GAGGUGUGGGGUGUCGGGUAGGAGAAGGGAAGAAGAGGAGAAGAAGAAGGAGAAGAAGAAGAAGAGGAAGAGAAGAAGUAGAAGCGGGUGAAGAGGCGACACCUCUGUUUCCUGCAGGAGGAAACAGAGGAGAGGAAGUGCUGUUCGUCGGGGAGAAGAAGGGGAGGAAGGAGAAGAAGAGAAGAAGAAGAAAGGAAGGAGAAGGAAGAUGAGAAGGGAAAGAAGUCGCUGUGGCUGCAGCUGUGGCAGGGAAAGAGGAAGAGGAAGGAAGAAGGGAAGGAGAGGAAGAN